rfam:Cryptococcus pinus CBS 10737 unplaced genomic scaffold supercont1.5, whole genome shotgun sequence.
AUCUACGGUCAUAGAACCUGAAAAACGCCGGAUCCCGUCUGCUCUCCGCAGCUAAGUCAGGUAUCGCUCGGUCAGUACCAAGGUGGGGGACCACUUGGGAAUCCCGAGUGCUGUAGUUU